rnacentral:piRNA from 1 species
UAUCACUUUGUGCGUUGAAAAG